rfam:Physcomitrella patens subsp. patens PHYPAscaffold_11 genomic scaffold, whole genome shotgun sequence.
AGCCGGGUGCCCAGCACAGAGCGAACUAUUCUUUCGCCUUUUACUAAAGAAUACCGUGCGCUGGACACAUAUACUGGCAUAUCCCAAUUUUUGGAUUGCCCCUACCCGGGGCCC